UCGCAUUUCUUCAACCUCCCACAGCUUACAGGGACCAGCAGCACUUCCAGAGCGUUUCCUGGGUGCUGGUGGUGCAAGAUUACAGCUCGGAGCAGCUGGGAGGGGUGGGAAUUUGCAAUAGGUGCAGCCCCUGAUGGGAAGCCCCAAAAGACUCUUGCUGGCAGCGGUGGGAUUCGAACCCACGCCCCCGAAGAGACUGGAGCCUUAAUCCAGCGCCUUAGACCGCUCGGCCACGCUACCCAGCUGGAAACCCCCAAAAUCUCGAUGGAAAAAGGGGAGAAAAAAAGAAAGGAAAAAAUAAAAUAAAAUAAAAUAAAAAAGGGGAUUUCCGCUAAAUUCACACCGGGGAGGCUUUGGUGUUUUCUGCCCAAAGCGCUGCGCUUUGUUUUGCCCACCCGCAGCACAGCGAAACCUUUUGGUGGCUCGAAGAGUUCGUGCUUCUGUUCUUUGCUCCGCCCCACUGAAGGGGACACGCACCAACCCCAACCCCAACCCCCCCAUUGGGGGCGGGGGGUCCAUCCCAGCCCCGAUGGGAGGUGGGGAGGGGGCUGGGGGGCAAAGCACGACGGGACCGCCAGCCCCACCGGAGAGCAGUGCGGUGUAAAUGUGGGUGUGGGUUCGGUGGGCGGCGAUGUCGAAGGGUAUUUCCAACCCCUCUCCUUGGCCUCGCCCCCAUUGGGGGCGGGACGGUGGGCGGUGUAAGGAGCUGGAGCCAUUUUAGGAUCCAGGCUCGUUCAGCUCCUCCCGUUGGGGUCAUGAGCUGCUCUUGGGUUGGUGGUGCAGAAUGAGGAACGCACACGGCUGAGGCACCAGGAGGAACCUUCAGGGCUGUUGUUUCUUUGGGCAUCCCAUCUUCCUGCAGGGAGCCUUGUUCUUCUGGGAAAGCCACGCAUGGUGAGAAGGGUUGGCUUGUUAUCCAAUAGAGCCCACGUUGCUUUGGUUCCAGGAUGAAGACUCAGCCUGUUCUGUGGAUCCAAACAGAUAACUGAUAGCAAUCAAUGAUUGAGUACCACCUGCAGGUAUCCUUUAUUACAAAAGGGAAUGGCAUUAACACCCAAAGCAGUUCUCUAUCUCUGCUUCUGCAUGCAAGUUUAUAUCUUCAAAGGCGUUACACAUUCAUUAGAAUUCCACAAACCCUGAUACAUGGUCAUACAGUUUCCCUGGAUGUCCAUAUCUUUUCAUGAUCUCCGUCUCCACCCAUUUUCUUCCCAUAUAUGGUUUGUUUCUUCCAACUGUACUGCAUUUUGAGGUCGCGCAUCCUCUGUUCAGCGGUCCCUCGGGCAGCUUUGGCUCACAGGAAUGCAAUGUUCUCACUCAAUACAAACACUGGCUUGUCUCAUUCCUGUUUUGGAUCUCUAUGCUUGCUUUUAGUUAUCACAGUUUCAGUAUCCUGUGCAAUCAGGAGACUACGAAGUUUAACACCUGUGAUUAUUGUGAGGUGCAUUAAUAUCUCAGUCUGAUUCUUCAGAUUGUUUUUUUGGGUCAGAUGUCCCACGCAGUCCCGUGUAUGCUCACAGGUGCAGAACCUGCACCUCUUUGGUUUGGGUACUGAGGAUACCUUGGAUCCCAUCUCUCUGCAGAAGAAAAGCAGAAACAGUGCAUGAUGAGAGGAAUGGCUCAUCCUACGUCUUCCACUGGAAGAUCCCAACAUUUUCAAUAUGCUUUGUGGCGUUUCUCUGGGUUAGUAUGAGGAAAGCAGUGUGUGGUGUGAAGAGAUUUUUCAUGCCAUGCAUGCUGCUUUGGGAUAACUUCAGAUUUCCUCAGAUUUAACAACUGCAGCUUACUACACUGGGAAUUGUCUUUCUCUAAAAAAAAAAUAAAAAUAAAAAAAUAAAAGAUGGGACAGCAUCUCAUCCCAUGGGAAGUGCCAGCUUCCUUUGGUUCAGGAAAGAAGACUCACCCACUGCUUCAGUUUGUUGCUCUGGAAAAGAGGGAAGAAAGCAAUCCAUGAUGAAAGGAACAUCUCAUCCCACAGCUCACGCAGGCAGAGCCCAUUUUUAAUUUAAUUUGGGAAGGAAUACUCACCCAAUUUUCCAAGUUUCUCUGCAAAGGAAACAAAUACAAAAUGCAUAUUGAGAAGGAUCAGAUUAUCAUCCCAUUGCUGAUCCUGUGGGGAAACCCCAAAUCUCUUUGGUUUGGGGAGGGGGACUCACCCAGCUUUGCAUCAAUUCUCUCUGUAAAGGAAAAGCAGAAACUGCAUGAUGAGAGGAACAUCUCAUCCCACAGAUCCCAAAGGAAGACCCCCUUUUUUAUUUAAUUUCAGAGGGAGGACUUACCCAGUUGUAAAGCUAGCAUCUCUACAAUGAAACAAAAUUGAAAUGCAUGAUGAGAAGGGUCAGAUUGUCAUCCCAUGGCUGAACCUAUGGGAAGACCCCAUAUCUUUUUGGUUUGAGGAGGGAGACUCACCAAACUUUGCAUCGCUUCUCUCUGCAAAGGAAAAGCAGAAAUAAUGUGGUAUGGAAGGAACAUCUCAUUGCACAGCUCCCAAAACAUU